rnacentral:rRNA from 1 species
UACAGAGGGUGCGAGCGUUAAUCGGAAUUACUGGGCGUAAAGCGUGCGUAGACGGUAGCGUAAGUCAGAUGUGAAAGCCCCGGGCUCAACCUGGGAACUGCAUUUGAGACUGCUCUGCUCGGGUGCGGAAGAGGGAAGCGGAAUUUCCGGUGUAGCGGUGAAAUGCGUAGAUAUCGGGAGGAACACCUGUGGCGAAAGCGGCGCACUGGACCAUAACUGACGCUGAUGCGCGAAAGCUAGGGGAGCAAACAGG